GACGGAGGGGGCUAGCGUUGUUCGGAAUUACUGGGCGUAAAGCGCGCGUAGGCGGCGCGUUAAGUCAGAGGUGAAAGCCCGGGGCUCAACCCCGGAACAGCCUUUGAGACUGGCGUGCUUGAGUGCGGGAGAGGUGAGUGGAAUUCCCAGUGUAGAGGUGAAAUUCGUAGAUAUUGGGAAGAACACCAGUGGCGAAGGCGGCUCACUGGCCCGUAACUGACGCUGAGGUGCGAAAGCGUGGGGAGCAAACAGG
rnacentral:misc_RNA from 1 species